AUUGAACGCUGGCGGCAGGCCUAACACAUGCAAGUCGAACGGUAACAGGAAACAGCUUGCUGUUUCGCUGACGAGUGGCGGACGGGUGAGUAAUGUCUGGGAAACUGCCUGAUGGAGGGGGAUAACUACUGGAAACGGUAGCUAAUACCGCAUAACGUCGCAAGACCAAAGAGGGGGACCUUCGGGCCUCUUGCCAUCGGAUGUGCCCAGUUGGGAUUAGCUAGUAGGUGGGGUAACGGCUCACCUAGGCGACGAUCCCUAGCUGGUCUGAGAGGAUGACCAGCCACACUGGAACUGAGACACGGUCCAGACUCCUACGGGAGGCAGCAGUGGGGAAUAUUGCACAAUGGGCGCAAGCCUGAUGCAGCCAUGCCGCGUGUAUGAAGAAGGCCUUCGGGUUGUAAAGUACUUUCAGCGGGGAGGAAGGGAGUAAAGUUAAUACCUUUACUCAUUGACGUUACCCGCAGAAGAAGCACCGGCUAACUCCGUG
rnacentral:rRNA from 1 species